rnacentral:rRNA from 1 species
UACAGAGGUCUCAAGCGUUGUUCGGAUUCAUUGGGCGUAAAGGGCGCGUAGGCGGCGGGGUAAGUCGGGUGUGAAAUCUCAGAGCUCAACUCUGAAAUGGCACUUGAUACUGCUCUGCUAGAGGACUGGAGAGGAGAUUGGAAUUCACGGUGUAGCAGUGAAAUGCGUAGAUAUCUGGAGGAACACCGGUGGCGAAGGCGGCAUCCUGGACCGACACUGACACUGAGGAGCGAAAGCCAGGGGAGCAAACGGG